rnacentral:misc_RNA from 1 species
AGCUGCUGCUGGACCAGGUGGUCUCGCAGAAUACCAGAAGAAAGUAUUUGAUGUCCUCUACAAGAUUGCAGAUAUCUCCUUCCUAAGCCAAUACAAGUCAAAAAUAAUUGAUGUCAUUGAAAAGGGUGAGAAACAGCCAAACCUCACCAUUGGCAUCAUAGUCUCUAUAGUGGUGGUUUUGUUCACCAUCUUAUUGAGGCUAGUCUUCGGAGGGAAGAAGCAAACGGCAAAGAGAGAGGAGAAGAGGGCAGUAGCUGCAGAGAGUUCCAGCGAUCAAAGUGGCAAUGGAGAAAAGGAAGGAGAUGAG